UACGUAGGGGGCUAGCGUUGUCCGGAAUCAUUGGGCGUAAAGCGCGCGUAGGCGGCCAGAUAAGUCCGGUGUGAAAGUCACAGGCUCAACCUGUGAAUGCCGCUGGAAACUGUCUGGCUAGAGUCCGGAAGGGGCGAGUGAAUUCCUGGUGGUAGCGGUGGAAAUGCGCAGAUAUCAGGAGGAACACCGGUGGCGAAGGCGGGUCUCUGGGCCGAGUGACUGACGCUGGAGGAGCGAAAGCGUGGGGAGCGA
rnacentral:rRNA from 1 species